rnacentral:SRP_RNA from 1 species
GCCAGGCAUGGUGGUGCGUGCCUGUAAUCCCAGCUAUGCAGGAGGCUGAGACAGGAGAAUAGCUUGAACCCAGGAGGCAGAUGUUGCAGUGAGCCGAGAUCACACCACUGCAUGCCAGCCUGGGUGACAAAGCAAGACUCUGUCUCAA